GAUAAACGCUGGCGGCGUGCUUAACACAUGCAAGUCGAACGAAGUUUUUCUUUCGGGAGGAACUUAGUGGCGGACGGGUGAGUAACGCGUGGGUAACCUGCCCUGUACAGGGGGACAACAGCUGGAAACGGCUGCUAAUACCGCAUAAGCCCUUAGCACUGCAUGGUGCAUAGGGAAAAGGAGCAAUCCGGUACAGGAUGGACCCGCGUCUGAUUAGCCAGUUGGCAGGGUAACGGCCUACCAAAGCGACGAUCAGUAGCCGAUCUGAGAGGGUGUACGGCCACAUUGGGACUGAGACACGGCCCAGACUCCUACGGGAGGCAGCAGUGGGGAAUAUUGCACAAUGGAGGAAACUCUGAUGCAGCGACGCCGCGUGAGUGAAGAAGUAUUUCGGUAUGUAAAGCUCUAUCAGCAGGAAAGAAAAUGACGGUACCUGACUAAGAAGCACCGGCUAAAUACGUG
rnacentral:rRNA from 1 species